rnacentral:tRNA from 18 species
GGAAGGUCGUCAUCUCCGGUGAGGUGGCAGGACUUCAAAUCCUGUUGGGGACGCCAGCGUUCCCGGGUGGGUUCAACUCCCAUGACCUUCCGCCA